rnacentral:lncRNA from 1 species
GAUCUGCCCACCUUGGCCUCCCAAAGUGUUGGGAUUACAAGCGUGAGCCACCGUGCCCGGCCUGUGGGGCUCUAUCUUAAUUCUGCCUUUAAGGACCUAAUAAAUCACUUUACCUCUAGUUCCUGAGCUAUACAAUUAGUGGGCUGUGUUAUCCGAGCUCUGUGUCACUUAUUUAUGGCUGCUAACAAACCACCCCACAUCUUAGUGGCUUAAAGCAACACUGGUUUAUGAUUUCACAAUCCUGUGGGUUGACUGGGCUGUUGUUAGCGGGUCUCAACAGGUGGGACAGCCAGGGCUGGGCUCAUCUGGGACACCUGGGACUCUCUCACCUGGGUCUUUCAUCCUGGGCUUCUUCCUCUCAUGGUGGCCACAGGUGUUCCGAGGGGAUGAGGUUGGACACUACAAGGCCUGUGAAGGUGUAGGCUCUGAGGCUACAUAACUUCACUUCCACUGCAUUCUCUUGGUCAAAGCAGCAGACAAGGCUGCUCGGACACAAAGAGUGGAGAGACGCCUUCGUUGCUCUUGUCCCAUCUGUGUCCAGUUCAUUCCUACGAAGACAGCCACUCUCUAGGAGAGCCCCGACCAGGAAAGAAGUUAGUUUCAGGUGCAUCCGACUGGGGGAGACACAGAGGAGGCCUCUCAACAAAACAGCAGGAUGCAGCUGGAGAAACUGGUUGUUUUACCAAGGCUUGGACUGGAAAGGGCAUGCUUCCCUUAAAAAAAUCAAGCUUGACUUGCAGAGCCAAUAAAAGCCUGUUGGGAAAACCGGCCUCAUACCUUGUCUACCUAGUCCCUAUACAGGGUUCCUAACCUGUGACUAACUCUGCUUAUUCCUGUGAACCAACCAGUGAUCUCCGGCUGCAGCUCAGAAGAAACAGAAGGGAUGGGUAAUGUAAAAAUCUGGAUCAGCAUUCUAGUUCUGGGCAAUUACCCUGCAAAUCCUGUCAGGUGAUAGGUGUAAAUAGGGUGUGGUACAAGAGCUCAGGAAUGGCCCAACGCGGGCACAAGCUAUAACACAGGUGAGCUGGGGCAUGCUAGCGUGUCCAAGUGGGGCCUGGGAGGGGUAUUGCUGGCUGGAGGUCCCUGGCUUGCAAAGUGACUGAGAAGAAAAAAUCCUACAUCACUGCCAAUAAGCGUUCCCUUUUCUCUGAAGCCUUGCCAGCAUCUGUUAUUUUUUGCCUUUUUAAUAUAGCCAUUCUGGACCUGUCUCUCUAAUUUUCACAAGUGCACUGCAUGGGCUAGCAGCUGCUCAGAAGAAGGCUUUACUAUGCACCUGAUAACCUCAUGCAACAGAAAAGGCAGGGGGGCUCAGUUCACCCACCUGCACAACACUGAGUUAUUUAUUGUGGAGGUUUACUCAACAUUAAAUACUAUAGUGGCUGCUACCAUGCUUCCCAAACUUGAAUGUGGACCAAUCACUCAGAGGUCUUGUUAAAAUGCAGAUUCUGACACAGGAGGUGUAGGCCCUGAGAUUCCGCAGUUCUAGCAAGCUCUCAGGUGACUCCAAUUCAGCCGAUCCACUGACCACACUUUGGAUAGCAAGGCCAAGUGGAUGUCAAGACCAAUGAAAGUCACAGGUGAACUGGCUGCGAAGGGCCUCUUCCUCUCCGCUGAUCACUGAAAUCUCCUCUCCAUCUUUCUUCCCUUACAAACCUCAAGCAGAACCCUCCCUGCCCCGCAAAAGGACCUCACCAAAACAAGUCCCCAAUGUCCUUAUCAAGAAAGGGGUAAAGAAAGUGAUACAGCAUCCUGUUUGUAGAUCCUGAAUUCUUCUUUUAACCGGCUUUAUCUCCUCCCCAGGAAAAAGAGGCUCUUAGCCCUGGGCUUUCACUGGGGGUUGGGGCAGAAUUAUUAUUUCCUAACCAGUCAGUGCCGUGCCAUGACAUGGGCUUUAUUUCUGAGCUCUCUCCAGGUUUUCCUAGCCAUUCUAUGAGACAGCUAUUAGCUCUGUAUUAUAGAUGGGGAAAACUGAGGCCUGAAGAAAUUUCAUAUCUUUUCCAAGAACAUAGACCCAGAAAGUAAACCUGUAAGGAAUUCAAUCUAGGGUUGAUUCCAAAUUCUGUACCGGAGCUGAUCUGGUUUCUAAAUUUCAAGGAACUUAAUUUUUUUCUGCCAAUAAAGAGGUUUUCCAAUUGGCAACCUUUUAAAUCAGAUUCUGCAGUACCUGAUGUAGAAGUGACAUUGAAGGCAUGGGGGUAUUACAGUAGACAUUGCUUUAUUUGUUUAAACAGAAUUCUAUUACUGAAGAGCCAUAUGAAUGUCUCUUGGAGUUUCUACUAAUGUGACAUUUUCUCUGCUUCCUCAUGAGAGUUGACUUUGAUGACUGGUUACUUAUUUUAUUUUAUUUUUUUUGAGAUGGAGUCUUGCUCUAUC